GCGUAAUAAACUUUUUCUGUUACCUGCAAACUGAAUCUGUAUUUUCCCUGACAAAUAGAAGCAACAUAAAACAAC